rnacentral:rRNA from 1 species
GCUCAGAUUGAACGCUGGCGGCAGGCUUAACACAUGCAAGUCGAACGAUGAUUAUCUAGCUUGCUAGAUAUGAUUAGUGGCGGACGGGUGAGUAACAUUUAGGAAUCUGCCUAGUAGUGGGGGAUAGCUCGGGGAAACUCGAAUUAAUACCGCAUACGACCUACGGGUGAAAGGGGGCGCAAGCUCUUGCUAUUAGAUGAGCCUAAAUCAGAUUAGCUAGUUGGUGGGGUAAARGCCCACCAAGGCGACGAUCUGUAACUGGUCUGAGAGGAUGAUCAGUCACACCGGAACUGAGACACGGUCCGGACUCCUACGGGAGGCAGCAGUGGGGAAUAUUGGACAAUGGGGGCAACCCUGAUCCAGCCAUGCCGCGUGUGUGAAGAAGGCCUUUUGGUUGUAAAGCACUUUAAGCAGGGAGGAGAGGCUAAUGGUUAAUACCCAUUAGAUUAGACGUUACCUGCAGAAUAAGCACCGGCUAACUCUGUGCCAGCAGCCGCGGUAAUACAGAGGGUGCGAGCGUUAAUCGGAAUUACUGGGCGUAAAGCGAGUGUAGGUGGCUCAUUAAGUCACAUGUGAAAUCCCCGGGCUUAACCUGGGAACUGCAUGUGAUACUGGUGGUGCUAGAAUAUGUGAGAGGGAAGUAGAAUUCCAGGUGUAGCGGUGAAAUGCGUAGAGAUCUGGAGGAAUACCGAUGGCGAAGGCAGCUUCCUGGCAUAAUAUUGACACUGAGAUUCGAAAGCGUGGGUAGCAAACAGGAUUAGAUACCCUGGUAGUCCACGCCGUAAACGAUGUCUACUAGCCGUUGGGGUCCUUGAGACUUUAGUGGCGCAGUUAACGCGAUAAGUAGACCGCCUGGGGAGUACGGCCGCAAGGUUAAAACUCAAAUGAAUUGACGGGGGCCCGCACAAGCGGUGGAGCAUGUGGUUUAAUUCGAUGCAACGCGAAGAACCUUACCUGGUCUUGACAUAGUGAGAAUCCUGCAGAGAUGCGGGAGUGCCUUCGGGAAUUCACAUACAGGUGCUGCAUGGCUGUCGUCAGCUCGUGUCGUGAGAUGUUGGGUUAAGUCCCGCAACGAGCGCAACCCUUUUCCUUAUUUGCCAGCGGGUUAAGCCGGGAACUUUAAGGAUACUGCCAGUGACAAACUGGAGGAAGGCGGGGACGACGUCAAGUCAUCAUGGCCCUUACGACCAGGGCUACACACGUGCUACAAUGGUAGGUACAGAGGGUUGCUACACAGCGAUGUGAUGCUAAUCUCAAAAAGCCUAUCGUAGUCCGGAUUGGAGUCUGCAACUCGACUCCAUGAAGUCGGAAUCGCUAGUAAUCGCAGAUCAGAAUGCUGCGGUGAAUACGUUCCCGGGCCUUGUACACACCGCCCGUCACACCAUGGGAGUCUAUUGCACCAGAAGUAGUAGCCUAACGUAAGAGGGCGCUUACCACGGUGUGGUCGAUGACUGGGGUGA